UGGGGACUACAAACAAACGUGCCAAAAC
rnacentral:piRNA from 1 species